rnacentral:rRNA from 1 species
UUGAAGGAGGCAAAACGGGAGCUUUAUCACGGUUGUACCAAGUUUUCAAGGUUCUCCUUUGUGGUAAAGCUUCUUCACUUGAAGUCAUACCAUAGGAUCCCGAAUAGUGCAUUUACUAAAAUUUUGAAGCUAUUAGCUGAAGCAUUCCCUGAACCCAAUACGCUCCCAAAAUCAUAUAAGGAAGCAAAGAAUCUUCUAAAGGAAUUAGGCCUUGGGUAUGAGUCUAUACAUGUGUGCUUCAAUAAUUGCAUUCUGUUUAGAAAGCAAUAUGCCAAUCAUGACAACUGCCCAGUUUGUGGACUGUCAAGGUGGAAAGACCCUGCUAGAAAGAAGAUUCCACAGAAAGUGUUGAGCCAUUUUCCAUUGGUGCCUACACUAAAGAGGAUGUUUCUUUCCAAAAAAGGUGCAGAAGAAGCA